rnacentral:rRNA from 1 species
AGGACACGCUGGCGGCGUGCUUAACACAUGCAAGUCGAGCGGAAAGGCUCCUUCGGGGGUACUCGAGCGGCGAACGGGUGAGUAACACGUGAGUAAUCUGCCCUUGGCUUUAGGGUAAGCCCCGGAAACGGGGUCUAAUACCGGAUACGACGCACUCUCGCAUGGGAUGUGUGUGGAAAGUUUUUUCGGCCAGGGAUGUGCUCGCGGCCUAUCAGCUUGUUGGUGGGGUAAUGGCCUACCAAGGCUUCGACGGUAGCCGGCCUGAGAGGGUGACCGGCCACACUGGGACUGAGACACGGCCCAGACUCCUACGGGAGGCAGCAGUGGGGAAUAUUGGACAAUGGGCGGAAGCCUGAUCCAGCAACGCCGCGUGAGGGAUGACGGCCUUCGGGUUGUAAACCUCUUUCAGUACCGACGAAGCGCCGAUGAUGGUGGUGACGGUAGGUACAGAAGAAGCACCGGCCAACUACGUG